GCCAGCCCCUCGAGCCAGGGCCCAGCCGGCAGCAGGCCCUCCCGGGCACCCCUCUCUUGGUUCGGGCCUGGCCGUGCCACCCCUUCAAGUCAACGCCAGUCCAGAGACCUGACUCCUCGCAUGCCUGAGACUCUCCGAGGGCCAAGCUGGCUCCCCACCCUCUCAGCCAGAAUGCCCUCAUGGGGUUAGCCCACCCUGGGUGGGGCUCCUGGGGGCUGGGGUCCUGUUUGCUCAGCCUCUAAUCCCCCAGUGCCCCCGCCCUGACUUGUGUGGGGGGAAAGGACCAGGGCCCCGAGGUGGGCUCACCCUCUCUCCCCAGCCCACCCUCAGAGGGCCUCUCCUCCCCGCCUGUCGGGAGCUCCGAUGCGGGGAGUGCCAAGCUCCCCUUCCCUGUGGUUCCCGACUAGUGUGUCCCCGAUUCCGUCUGUCAGGCAGACCCUAAACACUCCCUGGGGAGACCUGCCUCCAAGGUUUCCCCAAAUUUCAGCCUCCCUGGUGAAAUCCCCAGAACUUGCCGGGAAGGCCCGAGAACUUUCAGAGGAAACCGCCACGACUCCUCGCCAUCUGCUCUGAUUCUCUCCUGACCCCACUGCCUUGAGGUAUUAGGAAGAGGGCGGGCCUGUGUGGCAGGCUCCGUGCCGUCACCGUCCCCUUCCCCAGGCAGGCCAACAAUACUCCAAAGUGGGGCACCUCUCUUCUCUGGAAACUCUAAGACAGUGGACAGAAGGAACUAGCCUGACGUGGGCUAUGUGAAAGGCAGCAGCUGCCCGGCCCUCUGCACAGAGGCUGCUGGGGGCCAUGGCCGGGAGCCUGAGCCCCAGGGCGCCAGCCCUUCCCCUUCCGGAGCAUCUCCUGGGAAGGGCCACAGGCCCUCCCGGGCUCCACACCGGACUCGGGCAGCGUUCUUGUCUGGAGCCGGGCUGUCCCCAGGAAGCAGCUGGAGGAAGGCCAGGCUUCGGCCUGCCCUCAGUAGCAGCAGCGUCUGGCCCCUCCUGCUGUUUCUGGGGCCUUCGGAAGCACCAACCCAUUUCUCAGUUACCUCCUCUGGCCAGAAGGCCCCAGUGCUGUCCCCCAGAGCUGCUCUGGGUCCAGUGCUGGCCCCAUGAUCACCUGAUGGACGUGCCAGGCAACCAGGGCCUUGACCGCAGCCUUCCCGGCUGCCCCCCUCCCCGGCCCACCCCCAGCUGCCCGGCAGCUGGGCCCACGAGGGCUCUGGGGACGCUUCCAUAGGAAGGGGCCGGCACUUUGUGAUUGCCGCGUGUUUAGUGUUAAGUCCCCUGCCCCCAGUGCAGAUCCCUGUGUUUUGCUCUCUCCUGAACAAAAUGUAAACCGACACCUGAAAGCAAAAGGUAUCGAAUACCUUUCUUGCCCAUAAGGGUUUUUACAAAGAAUGUGUCUCACUAGGAACUAGGACACUCAUCAGCCUGAGACCAACUCCUGGAUAAAAGGAAUAAAGGAGAAUCGUGUUUGUAAUAAGUCACAGGAUUGUUUCUGUCCUGAAUUUUAAACUUUUUGUUAAAUUGUGAAAUUAUGGAGGAGUUUUAUAGAAAAAAAAAAAGUGAAAUAAAGUCAGAUGGGAAAGCAGA
rnacentral:lncRNA from 1 species